AUAAGAUGAGAGUUUGAUCCUGGCUCAGGACGAACGCUGGCGGCAUGCCUAAUACAUGCAAGUCGAACGAGCUUCCGUUGAAUGACGUGCUUGCACUGAUUUCAACAAUGAAGCUAGUGGCGAACUGGUGAGUAACACGUGGGAAAUCUGCCCAGAAGCAGGGGAUAACACUUGGAAACAGGUGCUAAUACCGUAUAACAACAAAAUCCGCAUGGAUUUUGUUUGAAAGGUGGCUUCGGCUAUCACUUCUGGAUGAUCCCGCGGCGUAUUAGUUAGUUGGUGAGGUAAAGGCCCACCAAGACGAUGAUACGUAGCCGACCUGAGAGGGUAAUCGGCCACAUUGGGACUGAGACACGGCCCAAACUCCUACGGGAGGCAGCAGUAGGGAAUCUUCCACAAUGGACGAAAGUCUGAUGGAGCAAUGCCGCGUGAGUGAAGAAGGGUUUCGGCUCGUAAAACUCUGUUGUUAAAGAAGAACACCUUUGAGAGUAACUGUUCAAGGGUUGACGGUAUUUAACCAGAAAGCCACGGCUAACUACGUGCCAGCAGCCGCGGUAAUACGUAGGUGGCNAGCGUUGUCCGGAUUUAUUGGGCGUAAAGCGAGCGCAGGCGGUUUUUUAAGUCUGAUGUGAAAGCCUUCGGCUUAACCGGAGAAGUGCAUCGGAAACUGGGAGACUUGAGUGCAGAAGAGGACAGUGGAACUCCAUGUGUAGCNGUGGAAUGCGUAGAUAUAUGGAAGAACACCAGUGGCGAAGGCGGCUGUCUAGUCUGUAACUGACGCUGAGGCUCNAAAGCAUGGGUAGCGAACAGGAUUAGAUACCCUGGUAGUCCAUGCCGUAAACGAUGAGUGCUAAGUGUUGGAGGGUUUCCGCCCUUCAGUGCUGCAGCUAACGCAUUAAGCACUCCGCCUGGGGAGUACGACCGCAAGGUUGAAACUCAAAGGAAUUGACGGGGGCCNGCACAAGCGGUGGAGCAUGUGGUUUAAUUCGAAGCUACGCGAAGAACCUUACCAGGUCUUGACAUCUUCUGCCAAUCUUAGAGAUAAGACGU
rnacentral:rRNA from 2 species